AUGGGGUUUUGUGGAGUGUCUCUAGAGUGGUACGCGGGUGAGAAGGGUCCGGGUCCGCGCCAGCUCCCUGCGCGCCUUGUCGCCAUGCCUCGGAAAAUUGAGGAAAUCAAGGACUUUCUGCUCACAGCCCGCCGAAAGGAUGCCAAAUCUGUCAAGAUCAAGAAAAAUAAGGACAAUGUGAAGUUUAAAGUUCGAUGCAGCAGUUACCUUUACACCCUGGUCAUCACUGACAAAGAGAAGGCAGAGAAACUGAAGCAGUCCCUGCCCCCUGGUUUGGCAGUAAAGGAACUGAAAUGAACCAGACACACUGAUUUGAACUGUAUUAAAAUACUAAAAAUCAAAAAAAAAAAAAAAAAAA